rnacentral:rRNA from 1 species
UACGUAGGGUGCAAGCGUUGUCCGGAAUUAUUGGGCGUAAAGAGCUCGUAGGCGGUCUGUCGCGUCUGCUGUGAAAACUCGGGGCUUAACCCCCGGGCCUGCAGUGGGUACGGGCAGACUAGAGUGCGGUAGGGGAGACUGGAAUUCCUGGUGUAGCGGUGAAAUGCGCAGAUAUCAGGAGGAACACCGGUGGCGAAGGCGGGUUGCUGGGCUGACACUGACGCUGAGGCGCGAAAGCUAGGGGAGCGAACGGG